CCUGUGGGUGGCAGGGCCCACGCACUCAGCCAUCCUCCAUUGCUCUUUCAGGUGUGUUAGCAAGGAGCUGGAUUGGAAGUUGAGCAGCUGGGAUUUCAACAGGUGUCCAUUUGGAAUGCCACUGUCGCUUGUAGUUGGCUUAACCUGCUUCACCGCAGUGCUGGCCCUUAUGGGAUCUUCUGCAUGUUUUGAGAAGCUCUGAGGAACAUGAGUGCAGUGAAGAAGUUUCCCAUGAAGAUGAGGGGUUUCUGGGCAUGUCCCCUCUCCUGCCAGCCCAUCAUGCUAUGGAAAGAAUGGAAGAGUUUGUUUGUAAGGCCUGUUUAAAGAGCGCUUCAGAAUACACACAGAGACAGGCAACAUCUGGACACAUCUCU